GAUGAACGCUGGCGGCGUGCCUAAUACAUGCAAGUCGAACGCUGAAGCUUGGUGCUUGCCCCGAGCGGAUGAGUUGCGCACGGGUGAGUAACGCGUAGGUAACCUGCCUCUUAGCGGGGGAUAACUAUUGGAAACGAUAGCUAAUACCGCAUAAAAGUCGAUAUCGCAUGAUAUUGAUGUGAAAGGUGCAAAUGCAUCACUAAGAGAUGGACCUGCGUUGUAUUAGCUAGUUGGUGAGGUAACGGCUCACCAAGGCGACGAUACAUAGCCGACCUGAGAGGGUGGUCGGCCACACUGGGACUGAGACACGGCCCAGACUCCCACGGGAGGGAGCAGGAGGGAAUCGUCGGCAAUGGGGGCAACACUGACCGAGCAACGCCGAGGGAGGGAAGAAGGUUGUCGGAUCGUAAAGCUCGGUUGUAAGAGAAGAACGAGUGUGAGAGUGGAAAGUUCACACUGUGACGGUAACUGACCAGAAAGGGACGGCUAACUACGUG
rnacentral:rRNA from 1 species